CCUACGGGAGGCAGCAGUGGGGGAUAUUGCACAAUGGAGGGAACUCUGAUGCAGCGACGCCGCGUGAGGGAAGAAGGUAUUCGGAUUGUAAACCUCUGUCUUCGGUGACGAAACGAGACGGUAGCCGAGGCGGAAGCCACGGCAAACUACGUGCCAGCAGCCGCGGUAAUACGUAGCUGGCAAGCGUUUUACGGAAUUACUGGGUGUAAAGGGAGCGUAGGCGGGAAAGCAAGUUGAAUGUUAAAGGUACGGGCUCAACCUGUACCAGCGGUCAAAACUGUUUGUCUUGAGUGGAGGAGAGGUAAGCGGAAUUCCUGGUGUAGCGGUGAAAUGCGUAGAUAUUAGGAGGAACACCAGUGGCGAAGGCAGCUUACUGGGCUUUAACUGACGCUGAGGCACGAAAGCGUGGGUAGCGAACAGGAUUAGAUACCCUGGUAGUC
rnacentral:rRNA from 1 species